rnacentral:rRNA from 1 species
GAUGAACGCUAGCGGCAGGCUUAAUACAUGCAAGUCGAGGGGUAACAUGGUAGUGAUACUGAUGACGACCGGCAAACGGGUGCGCAACACGUACAGAACCUUCCUUUAAGCGGGGGAUAGCCCAUAGAAAUGUGGAUUAAUACCCCAUGGUAUUAUCAGGUGGCAUCAUUUGAUAAUUAAAGAUUUAUUACUUAGAGAUGGCUGUGCGUCUGAUUAGGUAGNGGUUGGGGUAAUGGCCCACCAAGCCUUCGAUCAGUAACUGGUGUGAGAGCACGACCAGUCACACGGGCACUGAGACACGGGCCCGACUCCUACGGGAGGCAGCAGUAAGGAAUAUUGGUCAAUGGAGGCAACUCUGAACCAGCCAUGCCG